UCCCUGGCAGUCUAAUAGUUAAGACUCCAUGCUUCCAAUACAGGGGCUGCAGAUUCAAUCCCUGCUCAGGGAA
rnacentral:tRNA from 1 species